CAACAUUCACCUUGCAUGUUUUAGUUUUAUUACCUGACUAGCACACACAUACCAAGCACAUUUGCAUGAAGAGACUAAUAGGUAAUUCAAUAAUCAAACAGUACCCAAAAGAAAGAAAUUAAGAAGAGAUCGAUGAAGGCAUAAACAUUAAAAAAAAUGAAGGCAUAUAAUUUGCAUAUAUACACUCUAAUUAAUUCAUCAAAUAGACAGCGAGCAAGGUUAUAUAUAAUGAAUGAGUGUUGAUAAAGGAAUGAACGAACCAUUUGGGCAAAUUGGAGGAGAAAAGAAUGGUUGAGGCGUAUGAAGAAAGCGAUUGAAGUAAGCGAAGGUUUCUUGCUUCUGCUUCUGUCUCUGCCUAGCUUUGUGGUUCUGAAACCAGUAGAAGACAUUCUUUCCUUCGAUGUGACCAUACGCCCUAAGCCUAGCAGUUAUCUGCUGUAUCUCCUCAGCACUGGGAGUCUUUAUUCCCUGCUUAUACAAAUUCUCUAGCAUGCUUAUUUGCUCUUUUGUAGGGUUCCACCGCGAACUACUCCCUGCAACCCCCCCAUUUCCAUUUACAUUACUCCCUCCCAUCUCCAUCUCCAUAUCCAACUCCUCAUCAUUAUUAUUCCCACUCUCCAUCACAAUCCUAUUAUCAAUGCCAAUGCCACUGGAGUAUUUGAUUUUAUUAUUACUAGUAAUUACUACUAUGCUCUUACUAUUAUUCCCAUGGCUUGUGAAGCACUCACUCUUUUUAUAGAGUAGUAGAUAGGUAGGGAGAAACAAAAUGGUUGAGAGUUGAUAGAGAGGAUUAACAUGCGUAUUGUUUUUGGUGCAGAACAUCUCUGAAAACAUGGCGGUUAGCGGCACAGAGAGAGGCUAAUUAGGUUUCGUCGUCUUCGUUCCAAGACGUGUAGAAUUUCUUACGAGAAAGACAAUAAUAAAUAUUGCCCAAAUGGCCCCCCACCCCCACUUCGUGCCAUUGAUUUUGGUGCACACAUACUAGUAGAUUUAAGAUUAACGUUGAUUUUUCUAGUCUUUCCUAAGCCCAUAAUAGUCUUGUUAUCUCGGGAAUGACAGAAAGAGAGCGUAGUAACGUAGAAGGGCAUAAAUGUCAUUGGGGAAAAAGACAGCCGGUUGGGUUGUAAGGUGUAGGUUAAGGCUAGGCUUUGGGAAUUGAAGUGAGAGCAGAUAGGCUCAGAGGAGAGAGAGAAUUGAAUCAAUGGAAAUGAAUGAAUGAGGUUGAAACGUCUAGCUUGCUUAGCUACCUUACCUAGCUAGCCAAGCGUCACUCAGAACGAGUAGUAUGAAGGUGACUGUGUGAACUUCCAAUGUUUUCAGUGGUCACAAUAUUACAUUAUCUUAAUUAUUCUAAAAACAUGUGUAUUCUCAUUUCUCAUGCCACUGUGUGUUCUCAUGCCUUUAUUUGUCUGCUACAGUAGUGGCCCAAUUGGACCACCCUUCUUCACGCUUCAAUUUGUAACAUGCCCCAGUAGGUUGUGGUCCAAUUUCAUCUAGUAUAUAUAUAUAUAUUAUUAUUAUUUUUCUCCCCUACAAUCGGCAUGACUUUGAUUAUGACCCCCCAAGAGGGGAAAAAGUGUCAUGCAUAUGACUAACGUAUAUCAGUUAAAAUAUUAGUUUACAUUGGGUAGUCGAGGAUAACAGUUCUGGCGUGACUAGUUUUUUUUGUCAUGUUGCAUGUUACCAGCUAGGAGUAAUAGUGGUUGAUUAGCUGUUUAUGUGUUUUAUUUCUCUGUAACAACGCAUAUUCAACGUGAUUACAGUGAGCACCGUAUUGCUUUCCAGCAUCACUGUUCUUUUUCCCAUAAAAAAAAAGCAAAAAUAUAUCAAAUAUAUAGAACUAGAGCAGUAAAACUAAAAAGUACUCGUACAGCGUGGAAAAUAACAGAAACUAGAGCAAAAGAAACAUCAAGUGGGUGAACCUUCUAAUAUGUCAACAUGUAUAUACAUAGCCUUUCUCAACCUUUAGAAAAGAAAGUGAAACUACUGGCGAAUUCAAAUUAUUGAAGAAACGAAUAAAUAUAAAUGAGACAGUACUACUAGUACGUACACUAUAACUUUUUAAAAAAGGAUUAUUUUUAAAUUAGUAGUUAGUCAGGCAAUUUUGUUUGCUUAUCCAAAAUAUUUAAUGCAGUCUAUAAUAGUAGGAGUACUACUCUUGUUUUCAGCAUAUAUUUUAUCUUCCUAGUUGAAAUUUAUGUGAUUUUCGCUGGAGUAAUUUGAAAAUGAUGAAACCCAUUAAAUUGAGAAAGUAAUUCAGUGAAAUCCACGUGAACUUCAGUCAAUAUUUAAGUACAGUACAAAGGAGAAACGGAGCGUCAGAAAGUGGAUUACGUUAUGUGAUUAUGUUAUAUUAAUUUUUCUUUCUUUUACGAGUCUUACGGUGUCAAAGAAAUAUCAAUUUACGUUUAAGAAUCGAUAUAUUGCCCGUAUGUCAAAAUCAACACAGAAGAGAGAACUGGGAUCAGUAUCUUUUUUUAUUGAAGUUGAUGACGAAAAGUAAGAUUUGGAAUAUUUUAACAUGCAACACUCUACGGUCUACAGUGCUACUACUCUAUCUCAUUUUUAGCUAAUGCAUGCUAUUCCUAAUUUCCUUCCUUAUAAUAACUAGAGUCUCUUAUUAUUAUACAUUUAACUAUAUUAUAUACUUCAUCCUCUCUAAUUAUAAAUUUUUUAAAAAAAAUUGUUGGUUUCUUUUAUAAGAUUUUUUUAAUUUUUAGAUAGAUUAAUUAUUUUUUAUAUAUCUUUAAUUAAUUAUUCUCUUUCUAAAUAUUAAUGAGAAGCAAUUAAAUGUAUAAAGAAAUCAAAUAAGGAUAAAUUUAAAAUGAUAAUAUAAUUAAUUGACAGAUUUAAAUUUAAAGUGAUAAACUAAAUUAAAUAAUUUUCUUAAAAUAUAUAAAUUAGUUUUAAAAAAAUGUUAUAAUUGAGGACGGAGGGAGGAUAAUACCAUGCACAGUCACUUACGACAAGGAAUCGUUCUAUAAUCUCGAUCAAAAGGCAAGAGCGAGGGGGGGAAAAUAUCGGUCUGCCUUGGAAAAGGUAAAAUUUGCGUAAGAUUUGAUUUUAUAUAUUUGGCGGAAUGUUCUUGUUGCAAGAUAUACUAGUAAGUAAGCUAAAAAGUUGAAAACCAAAUCCUUAAAAGAAGGAAAACAAAAAAGAAGAACAAGGCAAGGCUGCAGACACAUAUCCAUUAUCCAAAGCAGAAAAAGCAGGAGAAGAAACCUAGAUGUAACCAGAUAAAGAGUUCAAAGCUUGGAAGAAUGCAACGGGUCGAAAAGGGUGGUGGUGGUGGUGGUGGUGCAUGUGACGCGAGGAAGAUGCGUGCUCAGAUAGGUUACUCGAAUUAAGCUGGCACUGGGUUUGGCGCAUGCAGAUAACGCAAACACCAAGUUGAUGAUAUUGGACGUAUGCGCCAUAAAUGUCCCUGCUGCCUCCUACUACCAUAUACGGUCAACUAAAAUAUAUAGACCUGAUAGCAGGGGUGAGGUGAGUGAGUGCUCAUGCUAAUUCAAUUCACUGCCUUUUACGCUGACUAUAUUGUUGUAGUAGUAUGUGAUCACUGCUACCUCUGAAUAUAUUCACUUGUGCUCUAACCAUUGUAUGUAUGCUAACAAAGAUAUUGAAUACAUUCAACUAAAUAAAAUUAAAGAGUGACUAUUAUCAUCUCUCUUUUUAAAAAAAAACAAUGUUGUAUUUUUUUAAGGAUAUUUCAAAAGGCAAAGUCUCGCAUGGUGUAGAAUAAUUUGUUAAUUUCAAGUGUUUAUAUACUAUAUUGUUUUUAAGGCUUUUAAUUAAAGUGAUUAGUAAGAUAUGGGAUUCUCUGUGCAUGAGCUUGGACUUGUGGGUUUGCCAUUAUACAAAUUUACAAGUGUUUAAUGUGAUAACGACCCUUGUAAAUUUUUUCUUCCUAAUGCAUUUAGGAUUGCCUAUAUACACCUCACAAAGCAACUAUUCGUGAUCUUUAACAUAUUUGGAGAAAAAAAACCAUUGAGUAUUUUCAAGCAAGUACUUGAAUUUGAACACUUGUGCUUAUUAAUUAGUUUGGUGGGAAGAAAAUAUUUUUUUUCAAAAAUGCGGAGCAAUCCUGGACCAAACAGAAGCAAGAACGUGGCUUGAAUAUUUCAAUAAGAGUAAUAACAAAUAUUAUCAUAAAAAUAACUAUAUAAGUGAACCUCUCACCAUUUUAACUCAAAAUUUUAAAGUACGUAAUUUAUAGAUUUUUCUUUGUUCAAUUUUUUUAUUUUUAUUUGAUGUGAGAUUUCACUAAAUAUUUCUACUACAACAUAAUCGGGAAAUAGAGAGAAAAUUAUUGAUUUUAUUUUAUGAAUAUAAAAGAAAAAGGGUUAUGGUUAAGUAGUGGUAUUAUUUUGUUUGUUCCGGCACGUCGUGAUCUGCAGAGAAAGAAAGGUAGAUGAGUACAGAAAAGCCGCCACGUCUGAGUGGCAUGCAGCCUGGCCUCGUGAAAUGCAGAAGGCAUAAGCUAGCGGGGUAGUGAAGAGAAUUGAAGCACCAAUCCCUUCGCCGUGUUCUGCUGCUUUUGGACACGGAAUUCGAUGCAGAUUGGUGAAACCAUGCAUGCAUGCUCCCCUGUGAUUAUGUAAACGGCAAUUCAAGGUACACGACACAAACAAUGAUGUAGAAUUCAAGAUACCAUGCAUUGCUCGGUCCUAAGAAUGAUUGGGUCCAACCGUUAGAUGACAUGUGAAAAUGACACUUACUAUGUCUAAUUUUUUUAUUUUCAUAAAUUUAUCCUUUAAAAUGAUUUGGAUAAUUAUUUAAUGACAUUUUGUUUCAACAAUCUGUUUACACACUCUAUCUGUCUAGUUAGUGUGUGCAUGGUAGCAUAAUUUUUGUUUGGCUGGUAAGGACAAAAUGUGUUCUUUAUACCCUAAUUGUUGGUUUGCUAAAUUAGAUAAUGCUAUGUAGAUAGUUUUCAAAAAAAUUUCAAAAUAUUUUUAUUAAAAAAAUAUUUACUGCUUUAAACAAAUUAUUUAGACUGUUUAAUUUAUGAACUUGGUGAUAAGAUAUAAAAAAAUUAAAUUUUAUCCUAAAAAUAAAUUUUUGAAAAGCCAGUUGAUUCACACAUGACAGAACUCAUGAUACGCGGAAAGUUGAAUUGGGCCAAUAAUUUGAUCGUGGACAAUAAUGCAAGGCAAAUGUUAAUUGUACCUACCGAUUUAAUAAAUAUACCUCCUUUUUCUUCUUUUUUUUAAAUAUUUCUUAAAUAUCCUUCUAAUUUAUUUUCAAUUUUAAAUUAUUCUCGUUGAUUUUCUAAAACAAAAUUGUGCUCACCCCCUUUCCUCUAUCACUCAUCCCCUCUUUUGCGGCUCAAUAACUCACUCCACCUUCACAGCUCACCCCCUUGCACAAGUGAUUUAAAAAAUAUGGGAUGCAUUGAAUUCAUCAUCCUCGGUUAUAUUGUCGUUGCUGCAAAUGAUGAUCCAUAUAUUUAAGCCUACAACAUUCAAUCUUACCUCCAAAACAAUCCUCAUCUCCCAAUUGGAAAGUCUAGUUUCCCCGUUAUCCUUCAAACACUCAAAUUGCUUAGAGAUUGUUUGCAGUGCAAGCAUAGUGUACGUACUGGCAGAGUCAAUCCCCACAGGUUGGUCAAAAGAGGAAAUCACAAUCUGAAUUGGUUACCUUUGAUUUGCUCCACCUCCAAUCCCAAAAAAUCAAAUAAAUUAAAAAUCACAAAAGCAAUGUUACUACUGUGCAUACUCAAUUUCAUUAGCCCUGAUGGCUUUAUUGAUGGUGUUUGUGCGCUUGUCUAAGUUGAGUACCUCAUUUAUGCUUGUAUUUUGACUAUGGGUGUUAGGAGAAGGGGGUUAAGUGGCUGAAAUUGGAAAUAAACUACAAGGAUAUUUUAUGGAAAUAAAAGGAAAAGGAAGGUAUAUUUAUUAAAUAGGGAAGGUAUAUUUAACACUUGCGUAAUGCCAAGACAUGGCCCAUUCCAAAUUAGUUUGCCCCACAAAGGAUCUUUAGCCCAGUUUCCACUUUGAAUUGAUUCUCCUUUCUUGACCCUAAAAAGGAUAAUGUCCUUUUGAUUUUUCAGCCUCUAUAUUCUCCUUUAGUAAAACCUUUUGAGAUUAUCUCUCCCGGUGUUAAAUCCCAAACCCACUUUAUAAAUAAUAAAUUUCAAAAUUAAAGUCAACAUUAUAUUCAACUCUCUUUUCUCUCAGAACAUACGUUGGAAAAGUCUCCUUUAUUAAUAUUCACAUUUUAUGAUGCCAACACGCACUGUUAUAAAUGUAGUAUUUUAUAAUUUUCACAACAGAAACUUAUACACAUGAAUUGUUAAUUUUACGAACUAUUUGACACUGGCCCACUUAAGCCAUGUUCUUAUAAGUUCCUUGCGUAGUCUUCUAUCUAUGAGUUUAUUCAGUUAAAAAAAAUAAAAAAUAAAAAUCUGAGUCUAUUUUGGGGCCUGGGGAAAAGGACUAUUUUCUGGUUCUCCCAAAAAAAUAGAUUUUCAUCAUUUUUUGACGUUUUUAAGUUAUAAUUGUGACACAAUCUAGCAAGAGAUGUUCAACUCUCAAAAAUGGGAGAGCAACCCACUUCAUAAGCAAUUAAGCAAAUAUGGAGACGAAACAAUCAAUAGACCAUAUGCAACUUAUAUCAUUGUUAAGUUGAAACGGGGAAAAGUACAUUAAAAAAACGAGAAAAGUAAAAUCCAAAUCCAAAACAUAAUGACAAGACAGGUUAUUAUCUAAACUUCAAAAGGGUCUUCGCAAAAUCAAGAACAACCCAUGACAAUUGGUCUGCUUAAUCGACUUCCUCAAUUUUGGGUCCAGCACCGCUUCCACUGCCAGCAGCAGGACCAUCCUCAUCCAUGGCUCCACCCGCAUCACCACCAGCUCCUUGGUACAUCUUUGCUAUGAUGGGGUUACAAAUGCUCUCCAACUCCUUCAUCUUGUCCUCGAAUUCGUCAGCUUCAGCAAGUUGGUUUCCAUCGAGCCAUUGGAUAGCCUGCUCAAUUGCAUCCUCAAUUUUCUUCUUAUCAUCAGCAGACAGCUUGGAAGCAAUCUUAUCAUCUUUAAUUGUGUUCCUCAUGUUAUAGGCGUAAUUCUCCAAUGUAUUUUUGGCCUCCACUUUCUUCUUAUGCUCCUCAUCCUCAGCCUUGUACUUCUCAGCUUCCUGCACCAUCUUCUCAAUCUCCUCCUUAGAAAGCCUUCCUUUGUCGUUGGUAAUUGUAAUCUUGUUCUUCUGUCCAGUGGUUUUGUCCUCCGCAGACACGUUCAAUAUACCGUUGGCGUCAAUGUCAAAGCAAACGGUGAUCUGAGGAACACCUCUCGGAGCAGGAGGAAUUCCAGAUAACUCAAAUUUGCCAAGCAAAUUGUUAUCACGAGUCCUCGUACGUUCACCUUCAUAGACCUGAAUCAACACACCAGGCUGGUUGUCGGAAUAGGUCGAAAAUACCUGCUCCUUCUUGGUGGGAAUGGUUGUGUUUCUGGGAAUCAACACAGUCAUGACUCCUCCCGCGGUCUCCAACCCAAGGGAGAGAGGAGUAACAUCCAACAACAGAAGAUCCUGCACUUUCUCAUUACCCUCGCCACUGAGAAUGGCAGCCUGCACUGCUGCACCAUAGGCAACAGCUUCAUCUGGGUUAAUGCUCUUGCAAAGCUCCUUUCCGUUGAAGAAGUCCUGCAACAACUGUUGAACCUUGGGAAUCCUAGUAGAACCACCGACAAGAACAACAUCAUGGACGGUGCUCUUGUCCAUCUUAGCAUCCCGCAAACACUUCUCCACGGGCUCCAUGCACUUCCUGAAUAGGUCCAUGUUAAGCUCUUCGAAACGGGCACGGGUGAUGGUUGUGUAGAAGUCAAUACCCUCAUACAAGGAAUCAAUCUCAAUGGUGGUUUGAGCAGUGGAAGAGAGAGUCCUCUUGGCCCUCUCACAUGCUGUUCUCAACCUCCUCAAUGCUCUGGCAUUUCCACUAAUAUCCUUCUUGUUCUUCCUCUUGAAUUCCUGAACAAAAUGGUUCACCAUUCUGUUAUCAAAAUCUUCACCUCCCAAGUGAGUAUCACCAGCAGUGGCUUUCACUUCGAAAAUACCCUCCUCAAUGGUGAGAAGGGAGACAUCAAAAGUCCCACCACCGAGGUCGAAGAUGAGAACAUUCUUCUCCCCAGAGCUAGUGGCCUUCUUGUCGAGUCCAUAAGCAAUGGCGGCCGCUGUAGGCUCGUUGAUAAUUCGCAUCACGUUGAGCCCGGAAAUGACACCAGCGUCCUUUGUAGCUUGACGCUGUGAGUCGUUGAAGUAAGCAGGGACGGUGACAACUGCAUUCUUUAUCGUCGAUCCUAGAUACGCCUCCGCGAUCUCCUUCAUCUUUAUAAGAACCAUGGAAGAUAUCUCUUCCGCCGAAAACUGCUUCUCAUCCCCCUUGUAAUUCACCACAAUCAUAGGCUUGUCAGCAGGGCCAGGAAUAACCUUGAACGGCCACAGUUUCAUGUCACUUUGUACCGAUGCAUCAGAAAAACGUCUUCCAAUCAAACGCUUAGCAUCUGCACGCGCCAAACCAAACCAACACAAUCACCAAUCGAUUCACAAUAUAAUCUCAUAAUCAGGAAAGCUUUCGCGCAGAUUAUUUAAGCAAGUGUCCAUUUAAUAAAUUUAUCAUGCAAAACAUAUAAAACAAUUCAAUUAAGCAAGUACUUAUUUAAUAAACCACGCCAAAAACGACUCACGCCAAAAACGACUCAACUAAUUCAAAUAAAUACUAGUUUAUUAAUAAACUCAAAUCAAGAACAAUUGAAAAAAAAAAUCACAAAGUAAGAAGUUAAUAAACGUCUCACAAACGCUUACUAACACAUGAAACAACUGUUUAAGUUCGCUACACUAUUUUUUAAUUAAAAAGAAAGAAUCGUGAAAGAUUAAUACUGACUAGGGUUAGAUUACAGAUAAUUGAAAUUUAUGAUUAUAAAUCACGAUGUGUAGACAUCCAAAAUCAGUGAAACAGAGAAAAAAAGCAGAGAAUCAAGGUAAUAGUGGACGAUUUGAGAGUACUUACCAAAAACAGUGUUGAUUGGGUUCAUAGCGACCUGGUUCUUCGCCGCAUCGCCGAUCAACCGUUCUGUAUCGGUGAAAGCCACGUAGGAUGGGGUAGUUCUAUUACCCUGAUCGUUGGCUAUGAUUUCAACACGAUCGUGUUGCCACACGCCGACGCAAGAGUACGUCGUUCCCAAAUCGAUUCCGAUAGCAGGACCCUCGCCUUUUCCAGCCAUACUCUAUCUCACAAUCUUUUGUCCCUAACGAAAUGAAAACUUGGAAUUCUGAAGAAAGGAAUCAGAAACUUACAGCAAAGCAAUUUCUUGAACUGAAUUGAAGAGAGGAAAGGGAAGCGGUGUGUUUUAAAGAACGUGUUUGAAUUCUGGAAGGUUCGGGGCAUGGGCUGUGAACCGUUGGAUCAGUAAAUUUGGACGGUAGAUAUAUUUGUUUCUUAAUGGAAAAAGCGAAGUGUUGCGUGGGGGGUGUGGGGUUUCUCCAACGUUCUCUAGGUGAUUCGAGAAUUUUCCGAUUACGAAUCCGCGGUGGCGUGGCACGCGUUGGAGCUCCACGCGCGUAGACUAGGAUUUUUAACCGCUGACGAGGGGAAGUUGCUUUUUUUAGUUUAUCUUUUUGGUAUUGGAUAGAUUGUAAUAGUGAUUCUCCCGCGCUAUUGGCUGGAUUAAUGACGUCGUCCGUGCGCUUUAGAUAACUGACCAAUUGGAUUUCACUAACUCCGUGUAAAGCGCGUUAGUGGUUUUAUAUUUGGGUUUGUUUCUUGCCCGCUCAAAAAGCCUGUUUUAUCUUUUUCAAAAUUCACUCAUUACUAAUCAGUAAUCACCCUGGUUUUUACGAUUUUUUUUUCUUUUCAAUCCUUCUCUAAUUAUGUUUUUCCUUUAAAUUAUAUCUUGAACAUAUAAGAUAUCUCUUUUAAUUUAAUAUUUUAUAAAUAAAAACAAUUUAACCUUUUAAAAGUGAAAAAAGAAAAUACUAAAUAAAAAUAUAUCUACUCUUAUCUUUUCAUAUAAAAUAUGAAAUUAAAAGAUAUCUUAUGUUCAAGAUAUUUUUUAUAAAAUAUUUUAAUUUAAUCUUUUAAAAGAGAAAGAAAAAUACUAUAGAAUACACAACUAAAAAAAUCAACGAUUUAUCUUUUCAAAAUUCACUCGUUACAAAUCAAAUUGUCUUUUUUACAAUUUUUUAUCCUCCUCCGAUAUGAUCUUUUUCUUUAAAAUAUAUUUAACACACGGAAUAGUCUAAUUAAAUAUUUAGAAAUAAAUUACUAAAUAAAAAACACUUAUAUAAAUUAGGAUAUUUUUUUGAAUGACUAUAAACUAAGAUACUUAUUUACCUUAUUCUCUUCAAUUUUGUUUUAAAAAAAUUCUCACAAAUAAAUGUAAACUACGGUCCCUUAUUCUCACAAAUAUAUAUAUAUAUAUAUAUAUAUAUAUAUAAUAUUCCUCAUUCGUUCUAAAAAAAAACUUACCUCCCAAUAUUUCUCUAAUUUAAUUCUUAUUUUAAAUAUUUUCCUUAUUCUUUCAUAUUUUUUUUUAUUUAAACUAAUGUGUUUCUCUCAUCUCCAAUUUCACAAAGAUUUUCUUUAAUUUCUACACGAUUUAACGAAAUUAUAAAUCUGAUGCACCUUUCAAUACUUGAAGAAUAUCAUAAUACCUCUUUUUCUAACACGAGAUUAAACGGAAUUACAAAGUGCAUUGCAUAACAUAUCUGGUGUGCUGUGUGGUUUAAAGAAAUGAGAGAGCGAGAUAGUACCCAACAAUGGUGUUAAGAGAAUGACAGAGAACAGAUAGAAGGAACAACAACUUGGUUCUUUGAUGUGCCAUGAAAAAACUUGGAUCUCUUAGAAACAAAACUUUAAUUUUAGGGCUCUUCUAUGCUCCUUAGAAUCUCAUUGGAAUUGGAAUAAAAUAUGAAGAUUAUGGUUUUGGAUGAGAAAUUAAAUGUGUGUAGUGUAGUGUGUUUAAGGAUUAUUCAAUUGUUUCUUAUAUUAUGUGUGGUGCUUAUAGAGUGGCUGAUCUAAAAGUGAUUUCACCAAGACUUUAUCAUAGAGUCAACAAUACGUUUUGGCUUUACAAUGUGUUUGCUUCGAAACUGGUCAAUCAUAGUGUGAGUGUGGGUGUGGGGGAGGGGGGUCAAGAGUGAGGAAGUCGUAGGUGGGGGAGGUGAGGGACACAAUGUGAUGGCCCAGUGCGAAGGAACGACCAUAUAGGUGAAGAAAAAAAAACAUAUUUUGAAAAUUAGACAUUUAGUUAAUGUCAUCUUGACUAAGGGACUAAAAAAAUAUUUUUUGAAUUUAAUGAACUAAAAAAAUAUUUUUUGAAUUUAAUGAACUAAAAAAAUAUUUCAAUUUGAAAGAUUAAAAAAGAAAAACUUCACAUUUAAUAAACUACAAAUAUAUUUAAAUCUAAUAUAGUAAAGAACAACAAAUUUAAAAAGUAUACUAAAGUUUAUCAAUAUUUUAAUGAAUAAAGUUUAGUUUAGAUUAAAUGGGUAUAAUUAAGGACCAUAAUCUAUAUUAAGGUCCUAUAAGAAAAAUUUAUGUUGAACACCUACCAACUUCAAGCUAACUCUAAGACUAAUCAAAUUAUGGUUCCAUUUUGGCCUUGUCUAACAUAUGAUAAAAGUGAUUUUAAAAUGUUUUUUUUUAAUUUUAAAAUAAGCAAAAUUCUAGUGUGAAUCAUGUAAUGGGUGGUAUGUAACGCCAACUACUUUUAGGAUUACUAAUUAUUCCUACAAACUAACACAAUAUUUUUAGUGUGUUUUUUUUCUCAAUUAUAUGUUUUAUGGAAAAAUUUCUCAAAAGGUCACCCAUCUUAAAGUUACUCUGAGCUAAGCAUGUUUAAUUAUGGAAUUCUUAAAUGAUGAGUUAUCAAAAAUAUAUGCAUCUUGUUAAUAUUGGUAGUACCAAUUAAUUCUUUUGAGUCAUUAUCAUCAACUUUACAAUUUCAUGCUUAUACAACCUCUACAUCCCUCUCAUUUGAGUGUGUAUUCGAUCCAUUCACGUGACUCGCUCGUUAGAAGCUUGUCAGGAGUCGCUCCUUGUUCAUACCACAUCUUUUGUGCAUCGACGACCAUUCCUCGCCUUCGUCAAUGUUCAAGAUGUUACAUGUCCACCAACUUUUGCUUGGUUAGUCCUUAAACCACAUCGUAUUAGGAGAGAGGUCAGCUCUAAUGCCACUUGUAAUGUCCCAGUUAGUUUUAGAAUUAUUAACUGUCCCUACAAUCUAACAUAAGACUUUUUAGUAUGUUUUGUCCUUACUUGUGUUUUUUAGAAAAAAUUUCUAGAAUGACACCCAUCCCAAAAUUACUCAAAGUCAAAUAUGCUUAACUAUAAAGUUCUUAAGUAAUGGAUUACCAAAAAGUAUAUACAUUUUGUUGAUAUAAGUAGUACAAAUUAAUUCUUUUAAAGCAACAUCAACUACACGGUCUCAUACCCACACAAUCUCUGGAUCCCUCUCAUUCGGGUGUGUAUUCAAUUCAUUUGUGUAUCCCUCUCACUAUAAGCAUACCAAGAGCGACUUCUUAUUCAUGCCGCAUUUCUUGUGCAUCGACAACAACUCUUCGUCUUCAUCAAUGUCCAAAAUGUUACAUGAUGCAUUUGUGAAACAUCAUACUAGUGUUAGAUAUAAUUAUAUAACAAUGAAUUGAUGUUUACAUGAGACUUAGGGUUUGGAUUUUUCCAAUGACGAAAUAAAAGUCAUAUUUGUUUUUUUUCUAGUAUGAGCAAAUCCAAAUACUUAUGUAUCAAUCUAAUCUUAUGGACAAAAGAGAUUAAUAUAUUUAUAUAUUUUUCGUCCAUUUUGAUCUUUUGAUUAUUUUGUACAUUAAUAUAGAGUGUUUUAAUAUAGUAAUAAAUAUUAUGUAAUAUAUUUUUAUCAUAUUUUAGAUGAAUUCUUUGAUGAAUUUGGUAAGUGAUUAGGGCUGAUUUAAAAUAAAAAUAAUUUUCAUAAAACAAGAAAUAUUUCAUAUAUUAAUAAAAUAUCACAUUGACAAAAAUUGUUCAACAUAUAACCUUUAUUAAAAGUAAUAAUAAUAUAUUUUCUUUAAAGUUUACUUUAUACCUUCCUUACUAUUGACUUACCCUGAAAAUGAAACUGAUAACUAGUAUGAAAACUAUUAUUGUGACACUAUAUUCAUAUUCAUGCUGUGCGCUACAGUGGGGAAAAAUUGCCACCCAUUUGCUGAAAUUAAUAAAUAUGCAAUGACCAUAGAACCCCUAAUCUUGUGACGUGUCACUCUGUCGAUGGCUGAACACCGAGAGGAAAAUCUGGCUCUAGCCAUCUUGCACCUUGUCCUUGCCUCGCAAAAAAAUGGGGAUAAUUCGUAAAAUAUUCAUUCCCUCAUCUCUAAUCCGUUAUGAGAAGCUGAACCUUCCUCUGCACAAUCUCCUUCAAAAAGCUUCUCAUCCAUGGCGAAAACGCUCAUUUCGUCUCCAUCGUUCAUCGGCACGCCGCUCCCCUCGCUCCCUCGCCACCACCUCCCCCACCGCACCAGGUUUGUCACUACCAAAGUCCACGUCAGCCUCCAUGAAAUUCCCCCUAUUCAAUCCUUAAGCCACUCCAUUGACUUCGCCGGAAUCGUUACCAGAGCCGAAGGCCUUCUCUACACGCUCGCCGAUGCCGCAGUUGCGGCGGACCCUGCGGUUGCAGCGGACACUGCGGCUUCCACCACCGAUGCUGCCGUACAGAAGAGCGGAGGUUGGUUCGGCUUCAUCUCCGAAGCUAUGGAGUUCGUUCUCAAGGUAAACUUUUCAUACUCCUGCUUCGUAGUUGUUAACUUCAUAUAUAUAAGGAUUCUUUUGCAUUUGCUAAGACUGAGCGAGUUUUGUGACGCGUCACGUGCGGAGCACGAGCUUCGAAAUUCAUCGAACUUGUUUUCUCGAGAUCGUGUAGCUUGCUUUAGAUGUUCUUAAGAAUUAAGAUACUCUUCGUCGUUGAUUUUGAAGUAAGGUCAUGUCUGGAUAAACUUUUAAAUAAGAAGAAAAUAGAAGGUAAUGUACUAACAUGAAUUAAGCUUCUUCCAGAAGUUCAAUUUAAUUUAUACAUAAGCUAAAAUCAGCUUUUGGAGAAGCUAAACGAGUGAGUUUCUAUAAUUUAACUUAUGCAUAAGCUUGAUUUUAAUUGAAGUUGCUUAAUUCAUUUUACUUUAUUAUUCUCGUGUAAGUGUUUAUUUAAAUAGGACUGAAGUUUCUAGAGCGAUGUUUGGAUAAACUUCUAGGGAAGGAAAUAAGAAUUAACUUCUCAAGUUAAAAUCAACUUAUACACUUCAGUUCAAUUUUUAGAGAAGUUAUAUAAAAGAACUUUUAUAAUAGUUAAAUGCAUUAGUUGAUUUAGUUUAUGUGAGAAAUUCAAUUGUUUUACCUUUUUAUAUUAUUCUGCUAUAAAUUCUUAUUGUUUAAUUCUUGGCAACUUCUGUUUGCGGGGGAAGUGUUCAGUGUUCGCUUUUCAGCUGUGAAUUCAAUUGAUAAAAGAUUUCGUGCUGUUAUCUAUUCUUUGUCAUAUGGAAAGCUAUACUUGGAAUCAGAAAAAGCAGUGCUAUUUGUUUACAAUGUUUUUCACUUUUCUAAUUUCGACAAAACAGUUCACGAAUUACCCAAUGCACUUGGCCUGGUCCUUUGUUUUACACUUAAUAUGUAAUUUAUAAAAAUUAAAAAAAAGCUACCUAACUAAUAUGAGCACACUUAUUCCUUUUUUUUAUAAUCAAUUUUGGAGAAUUUAUCAUUUUCUAAUACGAAAUGUUUGCUUGAUUUUAUUCAGGUACAUGUAUUUUUUAUGUUAUGUUAUUGUUAUUGUUUGUUUUCAGGUGUUGAAGGAUGGUCUUUCUGCCGUGCAUGUCCCUUAUGCAUAUGGAUUUGCUAUCAUAUUGCUCACUGUUAUAGUUAAGGCAGCGACGCUUCCCCUGACAAAGCAACAGGUUGGUACAAAUUAUGUCAAUUUCUAGAGCCAAAGAAAGCAUGACAAAUUUGCAAAUUUACUGAAACCUUUAAAUUAUGUAAUUCACUUUGUUUGAAACAGUUUUUUUACGUCACACUGGAGUAAUUGGAAUAUUUUGUUCUUCAAAGCCUGACAUUACAUACACCAUCAAAACAUUUUGAACUUUGAACUUGCAAUUAUUUUAUAUAUGAAUUUGAACUCUCAAUUAGCACAUGUGCUUCACUUGACUACACGAAGUGCUGAUUGUAAUAUAAUGUAUGUAUACAGGUUGAAUCUACAUUGGCUAUGCAAAAUCUUCAACCAAAAAUUAAGGCCAUUCAAGAUAGAUAUGCUGGCAAUCAAGUGAGGGAUGUUGUUGGUUAUUAAGCAUUCAGUUUGAUGUCGAGUAAAUAUUGAUUUUGUUGUACGUUAAAACAAAAGCAUUGUUCUUUCUAAACUAUUCAUUUUGUUGCCCUCUUUUUAAGGAAAGAAUACAACUUGAGACGUCAAGGCUAUAUCGGCAGGCUGGGGUUAACCCACUGGCAGGUACUUGUCUUUAUUUUGUUGUUUUCUUCGUCUUAAACAACAGUUCUGUAUAAUAAUCCCUUGACACAUGAAGCUAAUAAACACCGGUCCUAUGGAAUAAUUAUGAAGUUAAUAGAACUUGUACAAUCAUUCAUCAUAACAACUGCAACACCUUAAAAUCCUUUUUCUGAAAUAUUGCUUUAAAAUCGUAUGAAUAAUAAAUAUUAUGGAAUACACGUUAUUAAAUCUAGUUUCUAUUUGAGAAAAGAAUGAACAUGUAUACUUAUAUAUGUUGCACAUAUAUUAUAAUUAAAAUGCUCAUGAAUAAAGGAUAUUGUAAAAACAUAUUUUCUAUUUAAAAAAACUAUUUCGAAAGUUAUUGUCAUUUUUCUUCUACCUUUACACAAUGCUAUAAAAAAAUACAGUUUAUAAAGAAUUAUCUUGCACAAAACUAAAUAUUGAUAACUGAAAGAAAUAUGUAAUUGUACAUAAUGAUCCUAUGUGACCCUUAAGAUAUAACCAUAGAUGUAUUGAAGUCAUUACAACUAUUAACAAGAAAAUAAAAUAUUCAUCACCCCUCAAAAUAUUACAGUGUCACCAUAAGGUUUAAUAAGUAUCACGACAUUGUGUAUACAAAUCUUCUCACCCCUAAAUAUACAUCAAAAGGGAAAAUAAUCAUACACUUAGAGCAGUCACUACCCAAGACCCACGAGCUACCUAGGGCGAAGUCAUAUCUUCAGAAGGAUUGCUUUCGUCUCCCGGGGAAUCUCAUUCCUCAUCAUAUGAAAUCAUAUUUCUCUCGAAUAUCUUCUCAUUGCAAACAUCCCGGUAGAAAGCGAUCUUGGACGGCAUGAGAUCCUCAUCGUUGCUAAAAUCUCCCACAUCCUCGUGGACUUCAAGGUUAUAUCCCAACAAUCUAGUAGGUCCCCAUUGGCAUCAUCCCCGAUGAAUUGUUGCGAAAAUCACAGUGAGUUGUCUGGCCACACAAAUCCUAAGUAAGCAUAGUAGGAAAUAAUAUGGUUGAUAUCAUUUUGAGGGGUACGCUCAAACGGGAAGUGGUAUGUAGCAUUUGUCUCUAUAGUGAUCAGUGGCACAUGGGACUCAUCUAGCAGCAAAACGUGGCACUGGAUGUAUCCAAAAUAUGCGUGAAAGCACGUCUCUUCCUCCAUUGUGUAAUUGUAGCGGUAGCUACUGAUCCAUAUGAGCAUCCUCCGCUGAUACUCCAUGGCCUCUUCUAAAAUUGAUGGUUGCAAAGGUGAGUCCUCCGCUCCUCAAAUGCCACAAACAUGUAAUAACAAAACAAAAUUUAAAACAUACAAUCUAUCUAACCACUGUGUGUGAUUAUCUAAACAAACAACACUCUCGCGUCCUAAGUCUGUAACUAUCACACUUAAUUCACAAUAGGACCCAAUCAUUGCCAUCAAUCCUACUAGGUCUUGAUGAUGGUCUUACAAAAAUCAUGUGGAUGACAGUUGGGAGUGAUCGUUACAUAUGGAUACAUCGUACACCAAUCCUUCAUUUCCCAACUCAAAAAGCAUAGUCUCGGAGUCCGUCAGGAGUAAUAAAGUGAGGUCUGUGAGUUACCCGUGCCAAAUAAGUUCACCAAAUGUCGGGUACUCAUUACUCGCUAAUUCCCCUAGCUUCUUUGAACCUCGUCACCCACUACACCCCAGUGUAUCUCUGUCCAUCAUCCACCUCCUCAAUGUAACGUAACCUCACCUUCUCACAGAAGGAAAUAGAACCAUUGGUUCCUUACUCUUUGUCCAGUCCUCUUGAAUCUUGCCACUGCAUCGCAUGCGCAGUCCUUGAACCACUUAUAUCAAUGAACGCAUACAAACAAACAAACAAGAAAGAGAGACGAGGCUUAGACCUACAUACUACUCUCAGGGAACUACAUACUACUGAUCAUGAUUUGUUAAGCGAUAUAAAUCACUUGUCAUACGAACAAAUGGACAACACAACGGCUAUAAGUAUAGCUAUCUAACCAAACAUAAACAAUUUGUCAAGGGUCAAACACCCCCGGACCCAGACUAUAGCGUACAGAUAAAAAAUGACAAUAUGCAAACAUAUAUAUACUAGAAAAUAAAUUUGCAUCUCGCAGAUAUAAAUGUCAGAGUUCACACUCUGCCAGUCUUAUCAUUCAAUAAUCAUAAUAAAAUAUAGACAUACAUUUCAAUAAUUUUAUCAGUAGAGAAUUAUCACAAUUUCAAAACAUGUAUUAGUCAUCAAAUCUUGCAUUUAUCUCAACAAUACAAUAGUAAAUAAAUCAGCAGUUCCAGAAAAUAAAUAAUUCUAAGAUAAUUUAUACGGAGGCAUGGAUUCCAAAGUUAGACUAUCUACUAUCUAAAAUCACUUCGUCACUCGAUUUUUCAAAGUUUUGCUCCUAACUUAUCUUUAGCACUCUCAAUGCUUCAGGAGUUGGAUUUUCACAAAUUUUAUAUGCUACCUUACAUUUUCAAACCUAAAAAACUCAUUUUUGAGGUCAAAACUUUAAUGAAAACAGCCCAUAUUGCUGUAAUUCUCAGUCCAAAUUCGUAACAAAUUUUUUCAUUUUACUAAAGGUCAUUAAACUUAUUUUAUUUAUAACUUUUGAUAGGAAACUCCAAUUUAAGUGAAAUUUGAGGCUAACUCUAUGUUUUAACAUACAAAUAACUUAUUUUUGGCAUCAAAACUCAAGGAAAAUAGUUCAACACAUAGGUUCAAGACAUGACAGCAAGCUCAAAAAUUUCAAAGCAACAUGUUCAAGGAAGUUCAACAACAAGCAUAUGGUUCAAGAUUUGGAGAGAUCCCCUUACCUCUUGUAGUUUUCACGAAAUUUAGAAGGAAGAAUAAAGGAGUUUAGAUUUAAGUUUUCAACCUUCAAGAGUGCAAAAUAAGGUUUUGAAACUACAAAUGAUAAUAGAGCAAGAAAAUGAAGUGAAAAUCAAGCUUAGAGUUCAAAAUGAAAGUCACUUACCUAAGCUCGAUGGAAGAAGGGGCUCAAGAACACUUGGUAAAACUUGGAAGAAGAAGAAAAAUAUGGUCUCCGCUUUCUCUAAAAGCUUCAACAAAAUGGGAGAACUGACAUAGACUUUGGCUUUUAAAAAUAACACUUAUUGUAGGUGAAAUGCUUGGACCAAUAGGAUUGCAAGACCUUAUCCUUAUCUUCUUAAUCUAAGUACUUUGAAUGAUCGUUAAUAUAACUAAUUGGCAACUUGGACAGUCCUUGAUGUACUCUCCACGAGCUCAGUCAUGCCUUGUAUAACUUUUUGCACUUUUCCAAAACUAACUAUAAAAGGAUAAAGUAGAGUUUUGCCAAAAAUGGUAAAAACUGUUUUUGCUAAAACUAAUAAAUCUUAUCUUAAUCUUCUAGAUAAUGUGCUAAUCUCCCUUGGGAUACGUGUACUUAGAGUGAAUCUUGCAUAGAGUCCACUCACAAAGCGACAAAUUACACUACGACUCAAUGCACAGUGUAAUUCUUUCCCAGAUGAAAAUCUAGUUUAGUGAGUUUCUAUUUCUCUGUCAAGCUUUACUAAAUCAAUCAAAAAUACACACACAAACACACACACACACACACAUACAUAUACACAUAUAUAGCACGAAAUUCUAUGAUUAAAAACAUAUAACUACUGAAAUUAAAUUCAUACAUGCACAGAUGACACAACACAGAGUUUUCUCUGUCAGUUUGAGUUGUAGUUUUUUAGAGUAUUACAACUUUAACUUAUUUUAAUUAUUUUACAUCAUAUAAUUAGACACUUUAAUUAGUCACCAACUAAUUAAACUAAAAUUCUAUUUUUAAACUAGUUAUAUAGUCAUUUACGAAAAUAUCCUCCACUUUAAACUCUUAUGACUUAAUUACCCCUUUUCUAAUUUUAUUGAAUCUAGAUCACCAUUAAUCAACUGUAGUUAUCCUCACUUAAUUUUUAAAUUUACUUACAUUAAUUACUAAUUUUCUUUCAAGCUUUUAAUUCUAUUUCUAGACCAAAAUCCAAUUAUUAACAUCUAGGUCAUUAAUGAGUUGACCAUUAUUUGAUCAGAGAAUUUUCUCUAAGUUAUCCUUAUUCCUUCUAGACUUUAGCUUAAAAGUUUAAGAGUUUAAUGAUGCCUAGAUAUCCUAUGGUAAUAUCUCAUUUUUUUUACCAUUUCAAUAGUCUAAAAACAUUACCCUAUCAUACAACAAAGCAACAACACUAUCUAUCACACACAUGGAAAAUUGGGAUGUUACAGUAGCUCAACUGUGCUUGUGUACAAUGACCCAAAAAAAUACAGUUUCGAAGUAAUGGUUCUUAUAUCAAUUGUAUUUAUUUAAUUUUAUUUUGUUCAUCCAUAUUUCCCCGACCUUUCUUUUAAUUAUUAGCAAUAUUAUGUUAGUUUGAUUUUGUACAUAUUCUAUUCAUCUACUGACAUAUAGUCUCGACUUCUACUGUACUGUCAUCAAUUUUUAUAGGUUGUUUACCAACUUUGGCUACAAUUCCAGUCUGGAUUGGUCUCUACCAAGCUUUAUCAAAUGUGGCAAAUGAGGUAAUAAUUAAUUAUAUAAACUUUUAUCAUUUGAGCGGAGAUUUUGAUGGACAAAUUACACACAGAAAAUAUGAUUUUUUGUUAAUUAUGGAAAAUCUUUAAUUUGAAGGGACUGCUAACCGAAGGUUUUCUUUGGAUCCCCUCUUUGGGUGGUCCUACUACCAUUGCUGCUAGACAAAGUGGAGCUGGAAUCUCUUGGCUUUUUCCAUUUGUGGUAAGAAAGAUAUCUUUUGCUACAUAGGUGAAAUAAUAAGUUGUAGUUGGACUUUUCGCCCCUAAUCCUGUGAGUCUGGCAUUAUGAUCUUUAGAAGUAGACUGUUUACUCUGUAUUGUUGGAAUGAAGUUAUGGAUGGAAUGUUCACAGUUUACUUGCUGCAGUCAUGUUCCAAGAGGAAAUAAAUGGAAAACUUCGUAAAUUGAUUUUGUACUUUAAAUCAUUAUACAGUAUCAUAACAAACAUCUGUUAUGCAGGACGGACAUCCACCUUUGGGUUGGCAAGAUACUGCAGCAUAUCUUGUUUUACCUAUUCUUCUUGUCGUUUCUCAAUACGUUUCAAUGGAAAUCAUGAAACCACCUCAGGUAAACACAUCAGUUCUCCUCUGUUUCUUUUUCUUUUUUUUGGUGUUAACAAACUAAAUGACUUCUUUUGACAGACAGAUCCUUCUCAAAAGAAUCAACUUCUUAUUUUAAAGUUUCUUCCACUCAUGAUUGGCUACUUCUCAUUAUCUGUCCCAUCUGGACUAACAAUUUACUGGUUAGUUUUUCAGAAACUAUAUUAAAACCAUCCUUUCUAGCCAAUAAAUUCUUAUUUUUUAUGAUUUUGCUAUAACUUCAAACAUUCUUUGCUUUAUUAUUGGUUACUAAUAUAAAAUGUAUUUAUCUUCUACACUAUCUAGGCAAGUCCAAUUUGGUCAGAAAACUCCCGUAAUGGUAUCUAUACAACUCUUCUUUAUUUCAGAAACCAUUUCCUUGAUAUGCCUGCCUAAUGUGGGCAACAAAAACAUACAAAGAACAAAUGCACGAGAGCUAAAAUUCUUCUUUCUUAUUGAAACAAUAGCAUGUUCAUCAAGUGAAUGCUUUCUCAUGAUUAAAAUUUUUUAUUAAGAGAUGGUUUUGAUUUUUGACAACAUUGAUUGUGUGCUAGAGCCUAGGGGAAAUAAAAAACAAUUUCAUUGCUGCCUGAUUUUCUAUUUCUUUUACUAGGUUUAUAAACAAUGUCCUGAGCACAGCUCAACAAGUAUGGUUGCGAAAAUUGGGAGGUGCAAAGCCUGUUGUGAAUGAAAAUGCUGGUGGGAUUAUUACUGCAGGACGUGCUAAAAGAUCAGAUUCGCAGCUAGCAAGGAAUGGUGAAAGGUCAGUUUUUUCUAGUACAAGUUGCAGAGUUUCAACUCCUCUUGGAUAACAAAUUGGUGAUCUACAGGUUUAAGCAGUUAAAGGAAGAGGAAAAGAAGAAAAAGGUAAGCAAGGCACUGCCAGUGGAAGAAGUUCAGUCACUGGCUUCUGUUUCUGCUUCUGAUGAUGGCUCAGAUACAGAAAGUGACAAUAAGGUAAGUAUUAACUUGUGGAAUUUCUUGCUUAGAAAAUUUAUGUGAUAUAGCUGUCUGUUUGAGAGGAAAGAAGAAUUAAGGAAAAAGAAAAAUCUCCACAUUAACAUUAUUUGAUAUUGCACAGAAAUCUUUUUUAUAAAUUCAAUGUAUACAUUACAAAGAACAAUGUCUGACUAGCCUUAAUUUCCAAUCACUUCUAAGAUGAAACAUCUAGUAAAUUUGCCUGCAUCAGCAUGCAUGAAAAAAUAAUUGUGUCCAGCCAUAGAUUGAAUGUUCUAAAUUUUCUUUCCCUAUUGCAAUUUUGUGUUUCACAUGCUCAUUGUUGGGAAUGUAUAUAUAAUAAUAAAGUGACAACCAAUGACGUUAACUUCAGAAAGUAAAGUUAGUCAUUUAAUGGGCAUUCUACCCAACUUUCUAGCAGGUAUAGGGUAGUUAAGGGUGUUGGGCUAAUUUGAAAUGGGCAAGGAUCAAAACAAAUGGAGACACAGUUGGAGGAUGAGAAAGUGGAAGUUGAGCAACAUAUAAGUGGCAAACACUCAUAUACCUAAUGCCCUUGAGCUUUUGGGUUUUACAUGGUUUUUAGUCUGCUUAUAUGAUUCUUAGCCCAUUGUCAAAUAUCUUCUCAGGGUUUUCAGCUCCCCUCACUAACAAUACCAUAUCCCUUGCUCGGUAUUUAAAGCCUUGCUACCAUGACAUAAUGAGUGGAGAUUAAAUCAUAAAUGAUUUCAAACCAAGAGAAAUGUUAGCAACACACUAUUUUGAUCUCACUAUCUAAUAUUAGUUACAAUUUAUUGAAAAUCACAAAUUUUGGUGAAUCUUGCUUCUUAUUUAAUUAUUAUCCUAAUUUUGUAGUUUUGAAUAAAUUUUAACCAAUAGAAAAAUAAUGUGUUAGACAUAGUGUGUUAGAGGGUGUUGUUAGCAUUUCUCUUUGAACCAAAUAUUUUAACUGCUGAAAACCGAUACCGUGGAUAGAUAUGUCUGCCUUUUAAAGAGAAGCCCGACCUUCAAAUUAUAUUUCCUAUAGCUCACAAAUUGAAAGGAGGUGUCUUUUUGUCUUGUUUUACUGCUAACAAAGUGGAAGGUAACUAGAGCAUAACUUUCUGAAGGAAUGUUCUCUUUGUUAUUUCUCCCCUUCUCUUCUAACCACCUGUCGUCCCAUACUGUCCUUAUUUUUGUUUUUUAUUUUAUUUUUUAAAAGAAAAUUGCUGUGACUUUGUUAUAUUUUAUUGUUUUAAGAUUGUUUGGGAUUUUCAUUCUUUUAGAUAAAAUUCCCGAUGCUAAGUUACCUUGUUACAGGGACAGGAAGAUGCAGAAGAAGCAUACGCUUCUAAAGUUGGCGAAGAGGUUCAAAAUUAUUCUAGGGAAAGAAGAAGCAAGCGUUCGAAGCGGAAGCGUGCUGUAUAAAGGACCGCAUACGAUUAGUUUAUAGUGAGUUUUGUAUAUCUCAGAUUAUAGCAUUUUUGGGUUGGCUAUUAAUUAAAUAUAUGUAUCUAUACUCGGCAAAAUAUCUUUGUUAAGUUCCACAUGUUAGCUAAAGCAAUUUGUCUUGUGACGUUUAAUUUCAUUAAGAUGUAUCCCCCCUUAAAACUAGGAGUAUAAAAACUUCUAUUCCCUCCUUUCCAAAAUAAUAAUUAGUUUUAGCUUUUUUUUUUCUUUCUAUAAAUAGUCUUUUUUUUUUCAAGUUAUUUUUCUAACAAUAUCCCAAGACACGAUUAAGAAGAUAAAUUAAUAUAUCCAUUGAAAAGAAACAUCAACCAUAAAAAUAAGUUGGUGGAUAGUAGGGUAAUUUAAGAUAAAAUUAGUUGAAAAAUUAAGAAUAUUUUUUUUCUUCUAAAUUUACAUCAAUGAUUAUUUUUUAAUCAGUGUGUCUUAACCUUAAAGGAUUAUUAUUUUGGAAUGGAUGGAAUAUUAGAGAGACACAGCAGGUUCCUAACAGCACAAUAAUGUUCUCUAUGAAAAUGAUUUUGAAUGGAAUUUGAAUUGGCUGAUAGUAGUUGUUGUCAUUAAUGUUAAAAUUUGGGUUGGGUUGACCACAUUAGGUUCAUGGUAUUUUUUCCCUAACUUGGUCUCUAACCAAACCGAUCCGAUUAUUUGGGUUGGGUUGAUUCACAUUUGAUUCAUGGCACUUUUUCUAAGCUUGGGUCUCUAAACUAAACCAAUCCAGUCCAACUAUUAUCCGAUUCAUUUUGAUCAGCUGAUCGAGUUUAAUAUUAAAAUAAAAUAAAAUAAAAAAUUUAAAAGAAAUUAAAUAAAUUAGGAAAUUGAAUGUGAAGUAUGAAUUGAAUAUGUCAUUGUGAAGCAUGAAAAAAAUUAAAUGGACAGAGCUAAAGUCAUAAAUGCUAAAGAUUAAUCAAAUAUAAAAAUAAAAGAGAAAAUUAUGUAAUUGGAUGGGUCAGAUUGAUCAGGUCCCCAAAAUAAAAUUCGAGACCCGAUCGAAAUUGAUCGAAUUUGCAUUUUUUCAAUUAGACAUGAACGAAUAUGAAAUUUUUUAUUUAAAUGGGUUUAGAUUCAUUGGAUUAUUGAAUUAAUCUAGACAUGUGGUUAUUCCUAGUUAAAACCCAGUUGAGGGGCGAUGGUGUUUCAUUAUUAUAAAAUAGACUAAAUUAAUAUCAAACUGAUUAUAUAAAUUUAGAGCCGGUAGAUGAAAGAGUGCUCCAAAAUCAGAGCUUAGCUGUAAAAUUAGGAGAAAUAUUUUAGUUAAAGCCUUAUGGCCUAAGGUGUUCUUCACACGGCCAGUCUGUCAACAUGUACUGCCUAGUUGAUUGAGGAAGUAUUCAGCAAACUUAACAAGCUGAUUAGUUUGUGCAUGUUUGUUAUUGUUGCAAACGGACUUUUGAGAUAAAAUAAGAUUUUCAAAAGCAUUUAAUUCUUUUUUUUGUAAAACGGAGUUUGUUGGUUGUUAGAUUUAUCUUGGAAUUCUUACACCACAUUUUGAACGGAUAUUCAAACAUGCUUGACUUUAGACAUAGUCAAUGCGUCAACAUGUAAAGUACGCAUAUUCAAUUAAAUGCCAUUUUUUUGUACAAACACAAUGCUCCUAAAAGCAGAAUUGCUAAUCUACACCAAUCCAUUGAUAUCCAACAGCUAUUGAUGUCUCUACUGAACACUGAUGCCUAAUGAGCGUUUCCAUCUCUAUGGUUUAGAUGGUGGGUGUUGAUUCUCUGUUGGGUUAGGCCCUGAUGGGCUUUUACGCUUCUUUUCUUCAACCUGUGAUUUUGUUGCUCGAAUCAGAAUUUAUUCAUGUAAAUUAAGUAAAAUGAUUGAAAAUACAAAUAAGAAAAACGAUUAAUGUAUUUACUAACCCAAUAAGGUAUGACAUGUCCACUUCGCUGCUUUGGGCUAGCGUCUAAGCUUCCGAGCUUGAAAUGAACUGAGUGCAGAAAUAUAGAGUGAGGUGGCAUGCAAUUAGUUGCAAUGAACAUUGCAGAGCCAGCUUGGGCUUUACAAAUUAGUGCAUUUUUACAUUAAAAUUUAUAAACUUAAAUUUAAUCGGAGUUUGCAAAAACAAUGCAAGUCUUACCUUUACAAAAUUGAGUUUUCAGACAAAAUUUUCAUGCAUAAACGUAUUUUUUUGAAGUAAUGAAACAUGUCAUCAAAAUAAGUUUAGUUUCCAAAUGAAAAUCGAAACCUAGCCUUAGACGAACAGACAGAAGAAAAUAGUUUCAGAGCUAUUUGCAGGAGAAUGUGAAGCACCUGACUGAGUAGCCUGAACACUAGCAGUGACAUGAUUGAGUGCAGAAGCUGCAAGCAGAAGCCAUGCAAAGAGAAGAUGGACCAGAAUUUGUCUUCUCAUUUGUAGCAUACUUCUCAGUGAAUAAGAGUGUUGCGCUCUUAAUGGGGUAUGUCACGAGCAUUUUUGCAGUUUUUAUAUGCUAUAUCUUUUGGUAUUAUAUAAUCAUGACGAAACUUGAAAUUUUAUGUGAGAAUGUUUGUAAAAAGAUGCCCGGGAAUCCUAUGCCAUUACACUCUGUCUCUAAAAGAUCGAGAAUCUGUUUUUAUCCUCAUUAUGGAUUGACUUCUUACCCGUUAUCAUUUCUCUGUUAUCAUUGCUUCCAUGAUAAUUUUACAAGUACUUGUUCUUAUUUUUCUUUUUGAGUGCUUCGCCGAUAUGUUGGCAUCCUUUCUAUAUCAGUUUAAUAAAAUUUGAGCAAUAUUGUAGCGUAUCUGAUCUACAAAUCUAAGGAGUGUUAGUUGAUUGAACACGUGAGUUAGACAUCUUUGUUCGAUAAUACAAAUCCUUGAUGGUUCGGAUUAUUUCAUCUAGACCAUGUAUGAGUUGGUCUACAAGUAUAAAUAAGGAGUCUCCCAUUAGAAAGAGAUAAGUAUGUGACCAGCAUAUUAAAAAUAACGACUUACAAACUUCGAAUUUUAAGCAGGACAUCAGGAUCAAUCUAAGAUAAAAUAACUAAAAUUUAAGUUUUAGGUCUAUUAAUAAAAAAUUAUUUGUUAUUAGUUUUUUUAAAUAAAAGAAGGUUAACAUAUUAACUAAAAGGCCUCACAUAUUACUUUUUUCUUUAAGAUUAAAAAGUUUCAAUUUUAUUUUAGAUCUUACUUUUUGUUGGAUCGGUCGUAAUUUUAAGGUUUUUGAACAGAUGUGAUUUUAAAUUCUUGUGUGUUGUUUGGUUGUGGCUCAUUAAUGAAGUUUUCUAUGGUGUUUUACUCUCUUUGUAUUUCCAACAAGUGAUAUGAUUUCUGCAUGUAGGUUUUCCCAUUCUUAUUUCCAACUGUAUGUGUGUGUUCAGUUUGCAAAUAUUAGGGGUGUUUGUGAGUUUUGGUCAAAUUCAAGAUCCAACUUAAUCAAACUUGAUUGGUCUGAUUUAAUUUGAUUUUUAUAAUUUUCUUUUAGAUCCAACCCAAUUUAUUUAUGAACGACUUGAUUUAGUUGGAGCUAGCAUAUUAACCAUUUAACUUUGAUUUUUUCUUCUUUUUAUAAUUACUAUUUUAUAUCAUGAUUCAUCCAAAAAUUCAAUACAAUUAACGUAAUAUUAUCAAAUGUCUAAAAGUAAUAAAAUUGAUUCAUUUAAUACAAUUAACAUAAUAUUCUAAAAUAGAUUAAUACAAAUUAAAACAGAAUAUUAUUCAACGAGAUUUAUCAUAAUAGUGUGAAUUACAACUAUUUCCUACAAAUUAAUUUCUUGCAAUAAAUAGUUUUGUUGUAACCAAGUUUGUUAUAACCAGAUUUGUUAUAAUUAGAUUUACUUGAACAAAUGAAUAAAAUAUGACUCAUUAAUAUUAUAAACCUGACAAAAAAAAAUAUAAAAAAUGAAACAAAUAACAAUUUACCUAAUUUACCUAAAUACCGUAGGAUGUUCCAAUACUUGGACUCCUAAUAUUAGCCGUAUUUAAAGUCAAACGAAACAAUUCUAAAAAUUUAAAUACAACUCCAUCAGCACAACAAUUAAUUCUAUCAAUGUAAUGUGUUCUGGUGUUUGUAACCCUAACAUAUUUAAUUGUUUAUAUUUUAUUAAAAGCACUAAAGGAAAUAACUCACACGGGUUGGAUUAAUAGGUUUAUAAAUCUAAACUCAUCAUCGAUUUAAUUAGAUCUUGACUCAAAUAUAUAAAUUACUCAAUCCAAACUAUUCAAAUUAAUUUAAAUCAAUUUGAAUUCAAGAGUACCUCAUUCACUCACAUGAACACCCGCACCCCGCAGCAAAUGUACCUUUGUUGUUUACUGAACCUGGCCUAAAUUAGACUGGCUUUUGCGGAAAGACUACUUUCUUAUUCCAUUUGUACGUUUAUUUAAAGAAAUUGGCUUUCUCUAUAGCUAGCGUGAUAUAUAGCCUGGCUUAUGUGAGACAUGAUGAACAUCUUUAGUUACAAAGUCAAGUGUUGUUAUGAUUGCUUCAAUUAGAAUUUGAAUCAAAUCAAUCACCGAACCACACUAAUGCUACCAAAAUAAAUGUGCCUAAAAUGUUGUGGCAGCGACCUAAACGAACAAAUGUGUACCCGUAAAAUUAGGACGAUGAUAUGUUUAAGUUAAUCUAACCCACUGAUCUUUUGGUUGUUUCUUUUUUUUUGGUAAAUACUAACCCACUGAUUUGGUUUGUCAGAUAUAUUGAUCUGAUUUAUUGUAGAAAAUAGAAGUUUUUGCACCAACUUAAGGACUUAAGUAGUGUUAUACCAAUAAUAAAAUAUGAUGAACAAUUAACUACAACAGUCAAUUAGUUUAUUUUUUAAGAUAUUUUAAUUAGUUUUUAUUUUUUUAUUAAAUUUUGUUUGAUGGUUUAAUAAAUAAUUUUUUAGUAGUUUUUAAUGUUAUUAAAAUGUUACUUAAAAGUAAUAUUUUUUAAACAUUAACUUCCAGCUUUUAUAAUAUUACAUUUUUAUUCUUAAUAUAUUUAUCUAAUUUUUUAGUUAUCUAUUUUAAAUAUCUUGUUAGUUCCUAUCAUUUAACAUUUUUUUUUUUAUUUUUCAUCCUUCUAAAAUUAUCUUUAUUUGUAGUCCUUAAAGUACUUUACAUAAUAGUUUGAAUAAUGAAAAAAAUGUUUUCUAAAAUAUUAUAAUAACAAAAACAAAACAAACAAAGACUAAAAAAAAAUUGUAAGGAUGAAAAUAAAAAAAAAUAAUAAAUUACAAACCGAAAAGAUAUUUAAAUCUUAAAUAAAUUAUAAUUUUAUUAUUUUUUAGUUACUUCAAUAAUUAAUUUUAUCAAGCACUUAUAAUUUAAUAAAUUAAUUUUUUAACUUUCAGUUAUUAAUUAACAUUUUAGUUUUUAACAAAUUUUUUCAACUAAUUUUAUCUAAAAUAAUCUAUGUCUCAAUAAUUUGUUGUUUAAUAAAUUAUGUAAGAAUUUUCCUAAUCAUUUUGUUAUCCAUAAACCAGUUUAUGCCUGCAGACAGAGGUGGGGCUGAUUGAUAAUUAUGACUUGUUUUGACUAAGCUGAGUGAUCGGGAAUUGAUAACGCUGAAACGGUGGGGAUGGAGAUUGUUGUUAUAAAAUGAGUGUAAGUUUGGUUUGACGUUAAAAUAUUAAUAUAAUUUAUCUUAGAUAAAUUUUUAUAUAUUUAGUUUUAUGUUUGAGAAAAUUUAUUUGGAAUUGAAACAAUGUUGAGUAAUUUUUGUGUUAAAUAAAAAAUAAUAUAUUAAAUUUUAUUCUUAAUUUAAUUUUAUAAUAAAAAUAUUCAAUCACAAAUCACACAACUUAAAAAUUAAAUUUCAUUAAAAUCAAUUAAUUCAAAAAUAAUUUUACAAAUCAUCCAAACACAAAAGUAUUGGUAAAAUUAAUUUUGAAUGGAAUUAGUUUUAUAAAAUUGAUUUUAAUUAAAAUUAAUUUGAAGUGAUGUAAUUUAUGAUUGAAUGUUUUUAUUAUAAAAUAAAGUUAGAAAUAAAAUUUAAUAUAAAUUUUCUAAUCCAAAGUAAAAGUUAUUCUUCAACUCAAAAUUAAUUUUGGAUCCAGAAUUAAUAUUGAAAUAUUUUGUAACAUGAAAUAAAACAUAUAAAAUUUUAUCUAAAAUCAAUUCAUUAUUCACGUGAAACCAAGCACACAUUUAGUAUUUGUUGGAUAGACAUUGACAAAAUUGAUUUUGAAUGAAAUUAAUUUUGAUUAAAAUUGAUUUUGAAGUGAUGAUUUAUAUUUAGAUUUUUUAUUAUAAAAUUAAGUUAGGAGUAAAAUUUACAGAAUUUUAAAUCCAACAUAUAAACUAUUCAAAAUUAUUAUAAUUCAAAAUCAAUUUUGAAUUUUUCUUCAACUUAAAAUCAAACAUGUAAAAAUAUAUUUAAAAUGAAUCCCAAGGAGCAAACCAAAUCAAACAGGCACUUAAUUAUUAGAGUCCAUGCCAAUGCAAAAACAAAAAUAAUAAUUAUAAGCUGGUCUGCAAAGUUAAACGGGUCGUGGGAAUCCCGAACAAGCCUAGCUCUAAGCUGUAUAAUGUUUCUAUUUAUACCUCCAUUUUUCACAACUAUGACGUAGUUCCGGAGAAUGACUUCAGAAUUGUUUUUUGUUAUUCCUAAAAAUCAUUUUUGAUAAUUUUUUAUUUUGUUUUGUUUUAUCUUGUCACAAAUUUAUGUUUUUUCUAAUUUUUUUAUUUAUAUGUAAACGUGAAAUAUCGUGUUAUUAAGAUUUGUAAAGAGAUGAGUAUACCAAUUGAUGCGGGAGAAAAACCUGGAGGUGGGGUUAAGGAAGAGGCGUGUAACAAUUUUUUUAAAAAAAAGUGAAAAACCUGGGAUGCAAAAUAACGUUAAAAAGACUUUUAUCAGUAAUAAAACAAAACAAAACAAAGAGAAGAAAGGGAGGUGUACAUAACAAGUGCCCUAACUGUUUUUAUCUCAAGGCCCAAAGUGGAAUGAUUUUUUCGGUCUCUUAGUAAAUUUAUAUUAUACCCGUACCGAACCGUUUAUUGCAUGAGAGAUUUUAUAUUGAACAAAACUUAUAUAUAAUUUUUAAGGUAUUUUUAAUGUUAUUUUAGAAUUAGAAUUUUUCUUCCUAAAAAAAUUAGAAUUUUACUUUUGGUAAUUUAUAUUAACUUUUAGCAUAAAAUAUGUGACUUAUUGAAAUAAAUUUGUUUUUUAUUAGUUCACAAAUUAAAAAAAGAAAAAUAUUCUUUUAAGUCUCUUGUACAAUAAGAAAAAAACCGUCAUAAAUUAUGAGUCUAAUAAGUCAAAAACAUGUUAGGAGUAACUAAAAAAAGUAUAUUUUUUUAACUGAGAAAUUAAAAAAAGUACAUUUAAAUUUAAGAAACCAAAAACUAAAGUAAUAUAAAUUUAAGGAAAAAAACAUAUUUAAUCUUAAAAUAAAUAACAUUUGUUCAUUUCAUUCAAAUUCAAUGGUAAUACUUACAUUCCUAAAACAAACAACAACAAUAAUACUUAAUGUUUUGUUUGGUUUAAAUAAUAGAAAUAAUAAGGAUGAAAAUGAAAAAAAAAUUAAAAUAUAGUCUAAAAGAUACGAAACCAACAUAAAUAAUAAAAUCAACGUUAUUUCUCUCCCCUUUCCCUAAAACAAACACAACAUCUUCCAUUCAUUUAAAUCAAAAGUGAAUAUGAUUUUCUUAUUCAAGGUUAUUAUCUUUAGAAUUAAUUUAAUGGUAUAUUCGGAUUAAAUGAAACGGAAAAGAAAAUUAAUAAUGAUUUGUUAAAUAAUAAAAAAUAGAGAAGUAAAUAGUUUCUAAAAAUUAAAAUUCAAUUUUUCUUUUCUUUUUAUUUUAUUCAGAUUUCAAACUUGUCUCUUCCUUGUUAUUUUCUCUACGCCACAUCAAACAUCAUAUUGUAUUGUGGCAGUAAUUCGGCCCAAAACAACAAGUACAACAUUUUUAACAAACCACAAUGUGAUAACUGACCAAAAGGGGAAAAAAUGAAAAAAAAAAAAAAAACUAUCAAAAGUACUGUAAUAAAUAUUAAAUGGUUCUUGACCGGAAGGAUCAGACGUUCUACAAAAAGAAAAUAGUUAGUAGUAAAAGAAAUUUGUUUUUUUUUUUAAAAAACUAUAUCAUUAUAGAGAGGUUGAUUUCGCAGCCCCAAUUCCUUUUAAAUAUAAGGGGUGAUAAUACAUUUAAUGAAUAAAAUUCAAUUAAUAAAAGGAUAAGUGUUUACAUAUUAGUGGAACAAAAAGUAAAAAUGAAGAAUAUAUUUAUAUGCCCUGCAUAGGAUAUUUGAUUGCACUCUUACGGUAAAUAAAUUUUAUUUUAAAACCUAUUGUUUUGCCAAUUAAAUGGGUAUAAUCCAUAUUUUGUAAGUAUAUAUAUACUAUGAUGUGAUGUACAUAAUCAUUUGUAUGAAAUUAUUUUUUUGAAGCUUGUAUGAGAAUUUAUAUUAUAAAUUUUGUUAUGAAAUAUAUUAAAAUUACUCAAGAAAUUGUUUAAAUAUUUUUAUUAAAAUUCAAUUAAAAUAAAUCCCAACAACUUAUAAAAUUUAUAAAAUUUUUCCUAGAAAUCUGUUCAAAUGUUUCAUUAAUCUCAAAUUAUGAUCUAUGUACCAAAAAAAUAUUAAAAUGUACCAUCAAAAUCUCAAACUAUGAUCUGAAUGGAUAAUAUGUUCCAAAAAGCAUGACGAAUAUGGUUUUCGAACUUUGCUACUUCCAUUUAUUUCUUAGUAGUAUUUUAUACUAAUUUAUCCAAUAAAAUGUGACCAAGCCAAACCAAUUCGUCACAUGUUCGUGCAACGUUUCUUCCCCACAAAUUUUAGCACCGUUAUUAUUUAUUUUGCAAUCAAAUUGGGUUAAAUUUGUUGAGAUAAGAAAACGAAUGCACAUGGAGCUGGUCGUAAUUUGGUGAGUUGGUCACGACAAUAACGUUUGUGUAAGAUUGCAAGAGGAUAAGAAGCUCUGUUUACGAUGUCCUUGUCGGUCAACUUUUUUCUGAAAGUAAUCAUAAUUUUUUUAAAAACACUACGACAUUCAUGUUAAAUACUAUUUCCUCCAUUUUUAUAUAUAAGGAACAAAUAACUAAAUUCUCAAGAACAAUAAAAAAUAAUUAAAUUAGUUAUUUUUAAUUAAGGUUAUCAAAAUUGAGUUUGAUAGUUUUGUUAAAACUCCAUGGGAGUCUAUUUCAUAAAAAAUAUACAUAAAUAAUAAGUUAAUAUAUUCAAAAUAUAUUAUUUUGUAAGCAAAAUAACAAUAAAUUUAUAAUUCAUACUAUUAGUUUAUUAAAAACAUAAGUUGUCAAACUUAAAACAAGAAAUAAAAAGUAAACAUGGUGAGAUAUAAAAUACUACUCCUAAUUCAAAAAGCAUGAAACCAUGAUUAGCUAAAUCAUAAUUCGAAAGUCAGAAUUGGAUCAAAAUUAAACAUUGUGAGAUAUAAAAUACUACUCUUAAGUUAGAAUUGGAUCAAUUUCCGGUUCCCUUACGUGUGAUUGUUGCUUGGAUUAUGGGAAUCAAAAGGGACCUCAACUUCAACGUCCUAGAGACAGGUUCUCUUGUUGUGGCAAUAACAAUCACAGCCUUCACAUUAGUGACAUUACAGCCUUGUUCUCCUAUUUUGCUACAUUGUUAUUGGGGCAUGCUUUUUUGUACAAAGAACGCCCUCCCGUAAGCAUAGGAUAUGUAACAAAAAUAUUAACAAAUUACAACUUAUAUUAAUGCAUCAUGAUUCCUGAAAUUAUAAUUCAUAUCUAAAAUUUGGUCACUCUUUUUUCUAGACCAAGCUGAUGUUCCUAACAUAACGCUUAAAUUAGCAAUCGAAGCAGUGUUUAGAGCUCGGUAGGUAUGGUUCAUGUUCUCUAGUUAUAAAUAUGCAGCACACAUCACAUAAUCUUUUGUGUGCAUUCAAGAACUAUAUGAAACUAACUACUGGCACAGUGGCACUCGAUUGUAGGCGUAAAUGUUUGUUAGUGUAAGAGAAAGAAAGAAAGAAAGAAAAAUAGAGAGAGAUUCCUAAACAACUAAAGACAAAGUGGAACGAGUUUAGAAGAAGACUUACAUGACUUUCAGGCUCAAGCCUUCAACCAAGGGUCUCACGUCACCGUGUCUCGCGCUCAACCUUCACAACCAAACGCCCAAAUCGAUACCACUGAACCAACAACUUUGUUGUGACUCUAGGUGUUUUCGAAGAAGAACAAGACAGAAUAGAACGAGUUUGGAUUUUGGAAGAAGAGAAGGGAUCAAGAUAGCAACACAAGCUACCCUAACUUGUGUGUCCCUAAGUUUUGUUUCGCAACUUUUUUUCUAGGUUGUUCAAAACGAAGUCAUUUUUAGUAGUUUUAGUUUUUUCGAGUAAACUCUGUGACUAGGCCUAAACUCGUGAGUUUGCACGAGUUUGGUUCUAGUCCAUCGAGUCCACUUUAAGUUUGCCAAAAAAUCAAUUUGCUUGCAUUUUGACUCGUGUUAGUCAAGUAGACUCUUAAACUUAUAAAAGUUCACUAGUUGACUUUAGAGUUUGAUAACCAUGCUUUCAAUUAAUGAUAGUAAAAAUUAAAAUUUCAUUCCAAAAGUACCCUUAGAAUUAAAUAUAUUAAGUGGUGGUUAUAUUUAAUGAGGCUACUCUUAAUUUUAUGAACAAAACUUUUCAAUAAUAAAUAUUCUAUUUUUUAAAUGUCAAUACUAUCAAAAUUACUCAAAAAUAAGAUUUCUCUCUUAAAUUAAAAUUAAACAAACUGACAAAACUUUUACAAAUCAUGAUUUCCCACCAAAAAUUAAAAAUUCAUUAGUAUGAAAAUUGAAGUGUGACUCUCCAAUUCUUUUAGUAGCUGCACAAAAUAAAUAGAGUAGACCUCACCGGAAAAAAAAAAAAAAAAAGCACAUUUCACAAAAAAUGUCAAUGCAAAUGGACUUGAACAUUGCACCCGGGGAAAAUAAGGAACCAUUAACACUAUUGUUUGCACUUCAGGAAGUUGAGGAAACAAUAGGGACAGAGGGAACAUGAGAAAGUUGAAGAAACAUUCACCCCUGAGGAAGUUGAGGAGGAGCUAACACCGACUUUGACACCAAGUGAAGCUCAAUCUAUGAUAAAUAUUGACUUUUGUCUACUUGUUUGUAUUAUGUCCAAUUCAAAUAGUGUACUCAUAUGUUAUUUGACAUUUCAAAUCUCAUCAUCGUCACCCUUCAUGGAUAAUUGUCCCAAAACAUAACACACGCUUCAUUUGGAAUAUAUUGUCAUGUUUGAGAAAAAAAAAGGCACUAUAGUACAAGCACCUUAAAGGCUUGAACUUUUAACGCACCAUGAACUUAAACUUUUUAUAAGUGUGUACAACUUGCAUUUGAUGUUGGGGUGGUCACAUUUACAUAUAGGCGUCACUACAAAUUAAUUUACUCAUGUUUUAUGUGUUUCUUUUUUUUAAUACAACAAGCUAAAUCUACUUUUGAAUUUGUUGAGGCCUUUUUCUGGUUUCCUAUGUUCAUUUGCAAUAACUAACAUGUGAAAUGAAGGAUGAAUGGAUCAAUAUGAGACGAACAUAAUCUUCGCAGUAGUUAAUCUUAAUAAAAAGUAUUAAAAAAUAUUAUUAAUAAUCUUUGAUGAUUCAACUUUUAUCUUAAUUUGUGAUAUUUUGUUUCAUCAUAUUAAUUGUAGGGAUGUGUAGUAACUUGCAUAUUUUUUUACAGCAUUUCAAAUUUAGCUUUCAUUUAUAUGAAUAGCCACAAGGAAGUGGAGAAACCUUGUAUAUAUGCAACCAUAAAUUGUUAUUUUUCUUUAUGAUUGGUUUUUUUGUGUUGACAUUGUGACGGGUGAGCCAAGUUGCAGAAAACGUUCAUUUCCUAACAAAUGAACAAAGGAAGGCUAUAUCUCAUUUAUUGUUGCAGUCAAUUGAAAAUGGUAAACUAAAAUCUAGAACAAUAGUGCAAGUUGCAAAAUUGUACAACGUGAAUAGAAGCGUCGUUUUCAUAUUUGGAAUCAAUUGAAGGCUGUGGGUGAUGCUUCUCAUAACAAAACAAAGAACUAUGGAAGGAAAAUAGUUCAACUAAACGGUGAAAGUCUACAUAAAGUUCCAUUAUCAAAGCAGACUACCUUUUGUCUUUAUGUUGUGCUUUGAACAUUAACAUGACAUCAUUGUUUAGAUUGCAAAAAACAGGAGUUAUACAUCGCCAUUCAAAUGCACUUAAGCCAUGUUUAAAGCCGGAGAACAUGAUUGUUUGUUUAAAGUUUUGCUUGUCAAUGCUUAAUUGUGGCAACAUGCCUCAUGAUCCAAAGUUUAAGUCCAUGAAAAAUAUUUUGUUCAUUGAUGAGAAAUGUUUCUACAUUACAAAAUUUUUCACAAAUCUUUAUUUGUUUGCGGAGGAGGACGAGCCACAUAAGACAUGUAAAAGAAAAAUUUUUAUAGCCAAACUUAUGUUUUUAGUUGUAGUGGCUAGACUCAGGUUUAGCCAUGAAGGAAAUGAGACAUUUGCGGGAAAGAUUGGUGUUUUUCCUUUUGUAAUUGAUCAACCAACAAAGAGAACCGGUGUGAAUCGAGUGGCAAACACAAUCAAAAUGAAACCAUGACUUAUGUGAUAAAGGUGAAUAAAAUAUUCUUAAUCGAUAGAGUUUCGUUGGCUAUCAAGAAUCUAUGGCCAAGGGAAGAUGCAGGGAAACCAAUUUUUAUACAACAAGAUAAUGCAAGGUGUCAUGUUGAUCCAAAUGAUGUGGACUUUUGUCGAGCAUCAAAAGAAUGUAGGUUUAACAUUCAAUUUAAACUCUCAUGAUUUAAAUGUGUUGGAUUUGGGAUUUUUCAAUGUCAUAUAGUCUUUACAACAUAAAGAAGCAACAAAGACAAUUGACGAACUUAUUGUGGCAGUAGAAAAAUCAUUUCAUGUGUUUUCUACCACACAAUCAAAUAAGAUUUUUCUCACUCUUCAAUCAUGUAUGGUUGAAAUAAUGAAGAUCAAGGGAUCAAACAAGUACAAGAUAACUCGUAUGAAGAAAGAUAUGUCAUGUGACCAAGGUAGAAUACACAGUUAGUUGAGUUGUGAUCCUCUAUUGAUUCAUGAAGUCACUCAAUAUAUUAGUGAUAACAUUGUUUGACCUGUGUUAGUGAUGAAAAUACAAUUAUCUUUAUCAUUUGCUUUAUCAUUGUAACUUGUUUUAGUGAUGACAUUGCUUAAAUUGUGUUAUGAUUUACUUAAUUUAGUUGUUUUAUCCUUUAAUGAGCAAAAGUUGUUUUAUCCUUUUAUGAUUUUGGUUUGUUAUAUGUAAGUGCAAUUGGUAUUGGAAUGAGCUACAGGAUGAGGUUUGAAUUGUGGCACAUUAUUGAUGAUAAAAAAGAUUUCCAUUUUGUCUUGUGGCAAAAAUGAUAGAGAAUUUGUGGCACAUUACAGAUGAUGUUUUUCAAAGCAUGUAUAGAUUGAAGCUCCACAUAGUGAACACGUGUCAAUUAAUUUGAUACUUAUACCAUGCAUUUUAAUGAGUAUGAACGAGAAUCAUAAAAUUAAACUUAUGCUAACUCAAGUUGGAAAAGUUAUUGGUAGUGACAUUAAGAAAGUGAGUGACAAAAUUCUUGUGUUCACCUUUUGAUAAAAUUCUUUGCAUUAAAAAAACUCUUUUUUGAAAGACUUCAAAUUGAAAGUGAAUAAAAUACUCUACAUGAAGCUAGCUUAAUUUAUGAUAAAAAAAAUUUGACAACUAUAUGUUUGUAAAAAAUUCAAGGCAAAAGUCAUUAAAACUCUAUUUUGAUAAGGCUAUUAGCAUCAUGUAAUGCAUUGGCCUUUUGCUAAGUUAAAAAAGUUUAUGAAUUGAAAAUAAGAAUCAUGAAUAUGUAUGAAUUCAAAUAAGUAUUUUUAAAUUAACUAAAAAAAAUAAGUCCUUUUAAUUGAGUAGAAUAUUUAUUAAUUGUUUUUAUAAUAAAUCAUUUCAAUUAAUUUAAUUACUUACUUUUCUUAAAGAGAUCUACUCCAAAUUUCCAUAAAAAAAAACUACUUCAAAUAAGUAGACAUAAAUAUUAUGUUAAAAAAAACAAACAUUAACACAACAAGAUCUACUCCAACUUCUCAUUACAAAGAAAAAAUAAAAGAAAUAACUUCAAAUAAGCAAACAUAAAUAUUUAUCCCAAAAAAAGCAAAUUGAAGUCAGAUCCUCGUUGCACACACUUAUAUUUAAGCAACUUAGUAGAAUAUAUCAAAAUAAAUCUUUAGCAUUGACAAAACGUUUUUGUUCAUAUCUUCACUUUCAAAACCAAAAUCAUGCACGUCAUCCGGAUAUUUGUUAAGAUAAACAAGAUUGUUGUUGACGAAGCCACUAGAAGACAAGGGAGCACAACCAUUUGAACAAACCUCUUUGUUUUCUGUUAAAUCUUCCUCAAGCCAUGUUUUGUGCUUACGCCUAAAAAAGGUUUCUCCAACCUCAUUUUCAUCCUCGCUAGCCACCGACGAGUCGUCAACAAUCUUAUCAAAGGAAUCUUCAUCCUCUUCAAUCUUGAUAGCUUUUUUCAGGGAAUCAUUUACAAAAAUUUCGUUUGGAUCCUUGUUCAAAUUGAAAAUCUCAUCUUUCAAUUUGUUUUCCUUAAUCUCUGGUUCAUGCAUGGAAGCCAUUGUUGUUGUGAUUGAAGAUAACCAAUGGUCAAUAUACCAAGAGUUUGUUUACUAUCAUGGUGCAAAAAAAAAUGUUCUCCUUAUUUAAGAAAUAAAGUAUUUUUUUUUAACUACAAGGAUACUACAUGCAUGUUUGAUUUAAGGGGAUCAAUCAUAGCCAAAAGUAUUUGGAGUUGAUUCGAAGUGAAAAUUACAAGAAAAAAUAUUUGAUAAAGGUUAAAGGUAAAUGAAUGAGUGGAAAAAAUAUGAAACUCAUUACUUAAAACUUUUAUCUAAAAAUACAUACUGGGGUUUCGUAUAUUGUUAGUAUAAUCAGUUAUGUAAAUACUUUAAUUUUUAAAUUUGGUUGAGUUUCUUUGGGUUGGUGGAUUAAGUGUGUGUUUGAAUGCAGGUUGAUAAAAUUGAUUUUGUAAGAUUAAUUUUGAUUAAAAUUGAUAUUGAAAUAAUGUGAUGUUUAUUUGAAUAUUUUAUUAUACAAUCAAAUUAAAAAUAAAAUUUAGUACAAAAUUCAACGGAAAAAUUGUUCAAAGUUAAUUUAAUCUAAAAUCAAUUUUGAAUUGAUAAUGAAUUGAGUUAUUUAUUUAUUUACCUACUAAUUUAAUUUAUUUAUUUAUUUACGCUUUUGUUUCAUCUUAAUCAAAUACUCUGAUUUUCUAUUGUUUUUCUUCUCUCUUCAUUUAUGAUAAUUUCGUUCAUUUUCAUGGCUCUGUCAAAUACAAUAUUACAUUCUUGUAUUUUAUCUCUUUAUUUUAUUUUUUUCAAGCGGAGGUUCGAGCCCUUUGUUUAACAAGCGGAGGUUUCUGGUUUCACCAGAAUCCCCACACCCCCCUGACAAGUCAUGUCCGUGGCUUCAGACCAUCUUUUCAGAAUUUGUUCAAACGACAAAAACUCACAGAAAAAGCAAACCUUUCCCCACUUUUCCCCUUUCCACAACCAUAACAAAAUUCAAAUUUCAAAACGCCGCUUAAAUACACAUAGAGAAAGGACAAUCCCAUCCUACACAAAGCUACAUGGUAAAAAUAUAAACAGAAAUUAUACCACAUUUUCUCUAACAUUUUUGUCCUAUGGCUUAAUUCAAAAUAAUACAUUUUAGUAANNNNNNNNNNNNNNNNNNNNNNNNNNNNNNNNNNNNNNNNNNNNNNNNNNNNNNNNNNNNNNNNNNNNNNNNNNNNNNNNNNNNNNNNNNNNNNNNNNNNUUCAAACCAGGUCUAAAACAGUCCGCACGUAGAAUCAAACACGUUUUUCUUACAUAAAUAAAACUCCUAAUUAAUAAGAUAUUUUUUUUUUAAAAAAAAACACUGCCUAUAAAUAAACCCAAAAUAAAACCCUCUCUGAAACAACAUACUUCGAUUAUUUCUUUCCCCCCAGCCAUGGCUCGCUCAUUGUUCCUAUGCUCACUCCUCAUCCUCGCUGUCACCACCUUUUCCUCACCCACGGGUGCUCUUAUCCUGACCCUAGUCAACAACUGCAACUACACCGUGUGGCCCGGCAUCCAGCCCAACGCCGGCCACCCCGUCCUCGCCGGCGGCGGCCUCACCCUCCGCUCCCUCACCCACCAAUCCAUCCCCGUCCCCGACGCCCACUGGUCCGGCCGCGUCUGGGCCCGCACCGGCUGCUCCUACUCCGGCACCGCCUUCUCCUGCGCCAGCGGCGACUGCGGCGGCCGCCUCCAGUGCAACGGCGCCGGGGGCGCCGCACCCGCCACCCUCGCCCAGCUCGAGGUCCACCACGGCAGCAACGACUACGCCUCCUACGGCGUCAGCCUCGUCGACGGUUUUAACGUCCCCAUGACCUUCACCCCGCACGAGGGCAAAGGCGUGUGCCCUGUCGUGGGUUGCCGCAACGACCUUCUCGCCACGUGUCCGCGCGUGCUGCAGCACCGUGUGCCCGCGGGUCACGGACCCGUGGUGGCUUGCAAGAGCGGGUGCGAGGCUUUUCACACGGACGAACUCUGUUGCAGGAACCACUUCAACAACCCUAACACGUGCAAGGGAUCUAUCUACUCCUCCUUCUUCAAGCACGCGUGCCCUGCCACCUUUACAUUUGCUCAUGACACCCCCUCCCUCAUGCACCAGUGUUCCUCCCCGCGUGAGCUUAAGGUUAUCUUUU
rnacentral:lncRNA from 1 species